rnacentral:lncRNA from 1 species
ACUUCAGUUAAGUGUCCACACAGUAUUAUGACAGCUUCUCAGAUCAAGCUCCAGCUGUGCUUGUAACGCCCUUUGCAUCUGAUUCUUCAGAGCCUCAGAGAGCACCACAGUGAAAGACUCAUGAAAAAAAAUAAAACAGCCUUGGUUUGGGUAAGGUGUAAAUUCCACUGUGACGUGGUCUUGGGUCCCACGUCACAAAAAAGUGAAUAAUUUUACAGCUGUGAUCUCAUCCUGUCCAACGUUGCCUACCACCAUGUCCAGUCCAGAAGUGCGCCAUGCUGUUGAGUUAUGGCCCUCAGCUGCUAGGGACCCUGAAAAGGUGAAAAUACGCUGUUCCCUGGAGAACAUCAGUGAAGCUGGCAGCAGGAUGCCUUGCAGAUGAAGGCAUAGCAGAGUGUGAAGGCUGGACAUUGAUGCUAGGUAAAGUUAAUGCUUGACUUGGAAAUAGAACAGCCGUGCCGUGGACCUGGAAUUUUGAAAAAUGAAAACAGCAAACUUUGUUUGAAAGAAACACUACAAAAAAUGGCAAGACACCAUUCGCUAAUUCUGUUAUGAUUUGUCAUAGAAUAAACAGAGAGA